GCAUUAUUAUAUUUAGCUGGUUUAGAGUAUUUACAUCUAAUGUUGUCCUUUGACUUUUUUUUUAAUUUUGGGUUCUUCUGUUUUUAUUUGAUCCGUAUGUUUUGUAUUAAUCCUAUAAUGGACACUGUGUGUGGAGGUAAAGAGAGACGGCCACAUAGCGAACCAACGGCUGUUGUUCGUCGGGAAGGAGACCGGACUUUCUAUUCGCUAUCUGUGUCCCUUGUUUUGACGACUUAACCCUUUAUGUCCAAACCCAUUUCUUAAAGCACUCAGACUCUGUGUGGUCAUAGAAAAGAAGAAAGUGAUUUUUUUUAUGGUUAAUGUAUAAUGUGAAAUUUAUUCUACUUUCUUUUUUUUUGAAGAUAAAAGAAAACAGGCGUAUUAUCCUACUGUUUUCUCCGAACAAAAGGAGCAAAGCUCUUGUUUACUAGGGUUGUUCUUUAAACCAAGACGCCGUGGAACGUCGUUGGGGCUGGCAGACACACACACCACAGAAACAAAGCGAUUGGAAGACAGUUGGGCAUAUUUUAAAUAACAAUCCAAAUAAUAAUCACGAUAUACACAUAGUCUCACAUUUAUGACCCAUAGGAGAAUCAGUGUUUACUUUGCCUGUCCAACAAUGUUCCAGGUCGUGACCAGACAUUCAGUAAGAUGACCUGUCAUAUCUAUGUGACUCCGGUAUUCUGGAGGUAUUACUUUGUUUUAGCUCCACACUAUGGCAUAGCCAUUAGCCAUGUUCGCUCCCUUCUCGGGUGCCCUGCCAGAUAGUGAACCCGCCCAAUCAUCCUAGCUGUAUGUGUUUACUAUUACAUAAGCAAUCACAAAAAUGCAUCAUGCCAGAUAGGGAGUCUCAAAGUCAAUCAUGCUUGGCAAUACAGACACCCUCACAAUCAGGCCAUAGUGAGACCUAAUGCUGGAGAGAGGGUGGGCCGUAUUUAGUCUAGAAGCUUUAGGUUGGAUGGGUCAGUUAGCCUGGAUCGUGUUUGUCAGUAGGAAAGGGUUACAACUUCAAUCACCUUAGCUGAUUGGUCUGCGCCCAUACUGAGGUAUAAUCAUGUACUUAAGGGUCAGGAGUUUUUCCAAAUCAUGUAACCUGACCAGAAAAGCUCUGUGCUGUAGUUGUUCUAGAAAUCCAGAGUUUUUUAAGAACAGUUUAUGACUGGACAAAUACUGGCCCUUAUGUUGACUGAUACAAUGACAAUGUUGACGAUAGUGAUGAUGAUGAAAAUAAUAAUUAAGACAAUCAAAAGUCAUGAGUGGAGCUCAAAACAAAGUAAGAGUUAUUAAGAAAAACUUAUCUUACCAUCUCAACUUGAAAAAUGGAGAAAGAUAAUUAUGUAAAUAUAACAUAGAGUUAUAGAUUUAUAUUUUGUUCAUAACACAGUGUAAUAUAAGUUGUAUAUUUCUGUUUCUCUUUUAUUGAUGUUAUCCAUGCCACAGUAAACGCAGGAGUUUAUGUACUCUUACAAAAAAAGAAGAAAAAUUACAAAUAAACAAAUGAAACAAAAAAAACAAGAAGCCGUGGGCUUGCCAUGCACCAUCUGUUCUAAGUUCACUUUUUUCAGUAUUAUUGCCAGUCAAGGCUUUAAUAAAAAC
ensembl:lncRNA